rnacentral:rRNA from 1 species
UACGGGGGGGGCAAGCGUUGUUCGGAAUUACUGGGCGUAAAGGGCUCGUAGGUGGCCAACUAAGUCGGACGUGAAAUCCCUCGGCUUAACCGGGGAACUGCGUCUGAUACUGGAUGGCUUGAGAUUGGGAGAGGGAUGCGGAAUUCCAGGUGUAGCGGUGAAAUGCGUAGAUAUCUGGAGGAACACCGGUGGCGAAGGCGGCAUCCUGGACCAACACUGACGCUGAGUGAGCGAAAGCCAGGGGAGCAAAGCGGG